rnacentral:rRNA from 1 species
AUAGUGAGAGGAUAAUUUUCUUAAGGAACUCGGCCAAACCCUAAUGCCCAUCAGGGUAGAUAUCAGAACAUGGGCCUCGACUGUUUACCAAAAACAUAGCUCUCAGCCAAUAUGAAAGUAGAAGUAUGGAGGGUGAGGCCUGCCCAAUGGUUGUAUCUAAAAACGGUUGAUAAAAGUUGACUUCAUAAGGACAAUUGAAUGGCCGCGGUAACACUGACCGUGAUAAUGUAGCGUAAUCAAUAGCCAAUUAAUUGUUGGCCAGUAUGAAUGGCGUCACGAAGGCCCCACUGUCUUAAAAGAAUUCCCAGUGAAAUUGAAUUCGUAGUGAAGAUGCUACGUCCAAUUUGUUAGACGAAAAGACCCCAUUGAGCUUUACUGGAGUCUUACAUUGCUCGGAUCAACUCUCGCCCCCCCCUUGGCGGGGGGGUCGAAUUUAAAUGGAUAGCUUAGAUUAUGUGGUGUCAUAACCGUCGAUCAAGUAGUCCUUACAGGAUUGCCCCCCCGAAGGUUGACCUAUUUGGGUGAAUGAAACCCCACUCUUCUUUGUUAAAUGAGCUAACCCUUUCUCCCUUAAAGGGGACAAUGUAAGUUGGACAGUUUGGUUGGGGCGACCGCCUUUUAAAGUG